rnacentral:rRNA from 1 species
CUACGGGGUGCAGCAGUGAGGAAUAUUGCACAAUGGGGGGAACCCUGAUGCAGCAACGCCGCGUGGAGGAUGACGCAUUUCGGUGUGUAAACUCCUUUUAUAUGUCAAGAAAAUGACGGUAGCAUAUGAAUAAGCACCGGCUAACUCCGUGCCAGCAGCCGCGGUAGUACGGAGGGUGCAAGCGUUACUCGGAAUCACUGGGCGUAAAGGACGCGUAAGCGGGCUUGUAAGUCAGGUGUGAAAUCCUACAGCUUAACUGUAGAACUGCACUUGAAACUACGAGCCUAGAGUAUGGGGGGGCAGAUGGAAUUAGUGGUGUAGGGGUAAAAUCCGUAGAUAUCACUAGGAAUACCUAAAGCGAAGGCGAUCUGCUGGAACAUAACUGACGCUAAGGCGUGAAAGCGUGGGGAGCAAACAGGAUUAGAUACCCGGGUAGUC